CACGUAGGGUGCGAGCGUUGUCCGGAAUUAUUGGGCGUAAAGAGCUCGUAGGCGGUGUGUCGCGUCGGCCGUGAAAACCUGCAGCUUAACUGUGGGCUUGCGGUCGAUACGGGCAUCACUGGAGUUCGGCAGGGGAGACUGGAAUUCCUGGUGUAGCGGUGAAAUGCGCAGAUAUCAGGAGGGAACACCGGUGGCGAAGGCGGGUCUCUGGGCCGAUACUGACGCUGGAGGAG
rnacentral:rRNA from 1 species